rnacentral:rRNA from 1 species
UGGUGGAGUGAUUUGUCUGGUUAAUUCCGAUAACGAACGAGACUCUGUCCUCCUAACUAGGUUGUGUUUUCUCGGGUUGGUGUUUCUGGUGUUCCUUCUCGGGGCGCCGGCCCAAUCCACUUGUGAACACAACACUCUUCUUAGAGGGACUGGCGGCUGUUAGCCGCACGAGAUAGAGCAAUAACA